AUCUUUUAGGUAAUUUGGUCAUUUUAUUCUAGACGAUAUUUGACUAUUUCAGUAAGUAUACUUAUGUGAAACAUUCGGGAUUUUGGUCCUUGAAAUUUUUUUGAGUUUUUAAACUCACUACCGUAACUACGACUCUUCUUACAAGUUGUAACGUGUCGUUAUGGGUCAGAGGACCCCUAUUUUAGGGUGUUCAGUGAAAGUAGCCAAAGUUACUAUUCUGAUUAUGAAUGGCUCCUAACGAGUUGUAAAGACUCUAAGCGAGUCGUAUGGUCCCAUCCG
rnacentral:lncRNA from 1 species